rnacentral:rRNA from 1 species
GACGAACGCUGGCGGCGUGCUUAACACAUGCAAGUCGAACGAAGCUUGAUUACGGAUUCUUCGGAUGAAGUAUGAUAUGACUGAGUGGCGGACGUGUGAGUAACGCGUGAGUAACCUGCCCUUCAGAGGGGGAUAGCGUUUGGAAACGAACGGUAAUACCGCAUAAUGUAUUUUGACCGCAUGAUCGAAAUACCAAAGAUUUAUCGCUGAAGGAUGGACUCGCGUCUGAUUAGGUAGUUGGUGGGGUAACGGCCUACCAAGCCGACGAUCAGUAGCCGGACGGAGAGGUUGAGCGGCCACAUUGGGACUGAGACACGGCCCAGACUCCUACGGGAGGCAGCAGUGGGGAAUAUUGCACAAUGGGCGCAAGCCUGAUGCAGCAACGCCGCGUGAAGGAAGACGGUUUUCGGAGUGUAAACUUCUGUUCUUAGUGAAGAAUAAUGACGGUAGCUAAGGAGCAAGCCACGGCUAACUACGUG